rnacentral:tRNA from 1 species
GGCUUUAUAUUCAAUUAUGAUUUUAGACUGCAAUUCUAAAGGUGUAAGAGCUUUUACUAAGGCCU